rnacentral:tRNA from 1 species
GCCCCUGUGGUGUAGAGGCCAAGCAUAAAGCCCUUUCGAGGCUUUGACCCGGGUUCGAAUCCCGGCGGGGGCA